UACGUAGGGUGCAAGCGUUGUCCGGAAUUAUUGGGCGUAAAGAGCUCGUAGGCGGUUCGUCGCGUCGGCUGUGAAAUCCCGAGGCUCAACCUCGGGUCUGCAGUCGAUACGGGCGAACUGGAGUUCGGCAGGGGAGACUGGAAUUCCUGGUGUAGCGGUGAAAUGCGCAGAUAUCAGGAGGAACACCGGUGGCGAAGGCGGGAUCUCUGGGCCGAUACUGACGCUGAGGAGCGAAAGCGUGGGGAGCAACAGG
rnacentral:rRNA from 1 species